rnacentral:rRNA from 1 species
UUGACCUCGGAUCAUGUAGGGAUACCCGCUGAACUUAAGCAUAUCAAUA